AUUGUGAAACCUCAAGAUGGCAAACUAAUCGGAAGGAACAAAGACGGAAAAUUUGGCUAUGUUUGCCUUCGCAACAUCCAACAGGAAUCUGACAUUUAUGAUGAUGUUGGAGAGGAUUGCAUUUAUGACAACUGAACAGAAACCCUGCUGAGUUUCCUAAAAUGGUUGAAAGGAUUGAAACUGAACUGAAUUGAAUUUGAACUAUUUGAACAUAUGAGCAU